UUGACGGUACCCUACUAGAAAGGAGCCGCUAACUUCGUGCCAGAAGCGUCGGUAAUACGGGGGCUCCAAGCGUUAUCCGGUGUUAUUGGGCGUAAAGAGUCGUGUAGGUGGUUGGGUAAGUUAUCUUUCAAAUAUCUUUGCUUAACAAAGAGGAGGGGGAUAAUACUGCUCGACUAGAAUUUUCUCAAGGGAGAUCGGAACUGAGGGAGGAGUAGUGAAAUGCGUUGAUACCCUCGGGAACACCAGUGGCGUAGGCGGAUCUCUGGGAGAAGAUUGACACUGAGACACGAAAGCUAGGGGAGCGAAGCAGAUUAGAGACCUGCGUAGUCCUAGCCGUAAACGCAUGCUUGCUAGCUGCAUGAAUCUACCUUCGGGUGGUAUCGUGUGGCGAAGGUAACCCGUUAAGCAAGCCGCCUGGAAAGUACGGCCGCAAGGCUGAAAUUCAAAGGAAUUGGCGGGGAGGCACACAACCAGUGGAACAUGUGGUUUAAUUCGAGACUAACCGAAGAACCUCACCAGGGUUUGACAUGUAGCUGCACGUCUUAGGAAAUUAAGACUCUCUUGAAGGUGCUACACAGGUGCUGCAUGGCUGUCGUCAGCUCGUUCCGUGAGGAGUGCCCUUAAGUGGGACAACAAGCGCAACCCCUAUUACAUGUUAGAAAUGUCAUGUAAGACUGCCUUGCCAUUUGGCGGGGAGGAAGGAGGGGCAGACGUCAAGUCCGCAUGGUCCUUAUGCCCUGGGCUACACACAUGUUACAAUGAGUACGGCAAUGAGUCUGUCGCGAGCACGUAAGUGUAAGCUAAUCUCUUAAAUGUACUCUCAGUGGGGAUUGAGGUCUGCAACUCGACCUCAUGAACACGGAAUUGGUAGUAAUCGCGGGUCAGCUAUACCGCGGUGAUACGUUCUUGCCUCUUGCACACACCGCCCGUCAAACCAGCAAAGU
rnacentral:rRNA from 1 species